UUAAGCAUAUCAAUAAGCGGAGGAAAAGAAACCAACAGGGAUUGCCUCAGUAACGGCGAGUGAAGCGGCAAGAGCUCAAAUUUGAAAGCUGGCCCCUUCGGGGUCCGCGUUGUAAUUUGCAGAGGAUGCUUCGGGUGCAGCCCCCGUCUAAGUGCCCUGGAACGGGCCGUCAUAGAGGGUGAGAAUCCCGUCUGGGACGGGGUGUCUGCGUCCGUGUGAAGCUCCUUCGACGAGUCGAGUUGUUUGGGAAUGCAGCUCUAAAUGGGUGGUAAAUUUCAUCUAAAGCUAAAUACUGGCCGGAGACCGAUAGCGCACAAGUAGAGUGAUCGAAAGAUGAAAAGCACUUUGAAAAGAGAGUUAAACAGCACGUGAAAUUGUUGAAAGGGAAGCGUUUGCGACCAGACUCGCCCGCGGGGUUCAGCCGGCAUUCGUGCCGGUGUACUUCCCCGUGGGCGGGCCAGCGUCGGUUUGGGCGGCCGGUCAAAGGCCCUCGGAAUGUAUCACCUCUCGGGGUGUCUUAUAGCCGAGGGUGCAAUGCGGCCUGCCUGGACCGAGGAACGCGCUUCGGCUCGGACGCUGGCGUAAUGGUCGUAAAUGACCCGUCUUGAAACACGGACCAAGGAGUCUAACAUCUACGCGAGUGUUCGGGUGUCAAACCCGUACGCGCAGUGAAAGCGAACGGAGGUGGGAGCCCCCUCGCGGGGCGCACCAUCGACCGAUCCUGAUGUCUUCGGAUGGAUUUGAGUACGAGCGUAGCUGUGGGGACCCGAAAGAUGGUGAACUAUGCCUGAAUAGGGCGAAGCCAGAGGAAACUCUGGUGGAGGCUCGCAGCGGUUCUGACGUGCAAAUCGAUCGUCAAAUUUGGGUAUAGGGGCGAAAGACUAAUCGAACCAUCUAGUAGCUGGUUCCUGCCGAAGU
rnacentral:rRNA from 1 species